GCUGGGUGCGGUGGCGCAUGCCUGUAAUUCCAUUGGCUUGGGAGGCUGAGACAGGAGAAUCUCGAGUUCAAAGCCAGCCUCAGCAGCGGUGAGGUGCUAAGCAACUCAGUAAGACCCUGUUUCUA
rnacentral:sRNA from 1 species